rnacentral:rRNA from 1 species
GGAGCGGUAAGGCCCUUUCGGGGUACACGAGCGGCGAACGGGUGAGUAACACGUGGGUGAUCUGCCUCGCACUCUGGGAUAAGCCUGGGAAACUGGGUCUAAUACCGGAUAUGACCACGAAUCGCAUGGUUUGUGGUGGAAAGGUUUACUGGUGCGAGAUGGGCCCGCGGCCUAUCAGCUUGUUGGUGGGGUAACGGCCUACCAAGGCGACGACGGGUAGCCGGCCUGAGAGGGCGACCGGCCACACUGGGACUGAGACACGGCCCAGACUCCUACGGGAGGCAGCAGUGGGGAAUAUUGCACAAUGGGCGAAAGCCUGAUGCAGCGACGCCGCGUGAGGGAUGACGGCCUUCGGGUUGUAAACCUCUUUCGACAGGGACGAAGCGCAAGUGACGGUACCUGUAGAAGAAGCACCGGCCAACUACGUGCCAGCAGCCGCGGUAAUACGUAGGGUGCGAGCGUUGUCCGGAAUUACUGGGCGUAAAGAGCUUGUAGGCGGUCUGUCGCGUCGAUCGUGAAAACGUGCAGCUCAACUGCGCGCCUGCGGUCGAUACGGGCAGACUAGAGUACUUCAGGGGAGACUGGAAUUCCUGGUGUAGCGGUGAAAUGCGCAGAUAUCAGGAGGAACACCGGUGGCGAAGGCGGGUCUCUGGGAAGUAACUGACGCUGAGAAGCGAAAGCGUGGGUAGCGAACAGGAUUAGAUACCCUGGUAGUCCACGCCGUAAACGGUGGGUACUAGGUGUGGGUUUCCUUCCACGGGAUCCGUGCCGUAGCUAACGCAUUAAGUACCCCGCCUGGGGAGUACGGCCGCAAGGCUAAAACUCAAAGGAAUUGACGGGGGCCCGCACAAGCGGCGGAGCAUGUGGAUUAAUUCGAUGCAACGCGAAGAACCUUACCUGGGUUUGACAUACACCGGAAAGCCGUAGAGAUACGGCCCCCCUUGUGGUCGGUGUACAGGUGGUGCAUGGCUGUCGUCAGCUCGUGUCGUGAGAUGUUGGGUUAAGUCCCGCAACGAGCGCAACCCUUAUCUUAUGUUGCCAGCGCGUAAUGGCGGGGACUCGUGAGAGACUGCCGGGGUCAACUCGGAGGAAGGUGGGGACGACGUCAAGUCAUCAUGCCCCUUAUGUCCAGGGCUUCACACAUGCUACAAUGGCCGGUACAGAGGGCUGCGAUACCGUGAGGUGGAGCGAAUCCCUUAAAGCCGGUCUCAGUUCGGAUCGGGGUCUGCAAACUCGACCCCGUGAUAGUUGGAGUCGCUAGUAAUCGCGGAUCAAGCAACGCUGCGGUGUAUACGUUCCCGGGCCUUGUACACACCGCCCUCACGUCAUUAAAUCGUACCC